UAACACUAGCUUAAUAAUAACCAAGUUAUUUUACUAAAUUCUUUGUUAUAUUUGAAGUAAUUGAAAAAAACACAGAACAUCUCAAAAUAGAUAUAGUAAUGAAAGGGUUAAAGUAUAUAAUAGAGGAACAAUUCUUAAGAGCCAUGAUUCUAGAAGUAAGGAUUGAUUUUUGUCAGUGUGCGUGUGGUCAGUUUGUGCAGUACCUUUAAAACUACAGUCAUUCUAAGAAAUAUCUGUCCAGCCUGGCAUCUACCAAACAGCUCUAUCACAUUGAAUGUGUUUGAGAUAUUUUUUAUUUAUCUCUUAGAGGAAGAAAUCCAGAACCCAUUACCCCAUUCUGAGUCUUGAGGGGCCAUAUGGGUGACAUUAUAAUGGGGCGUGGUUUAUGGUUACCUCCUCCCAAAGACAAUAACAAUCCUUCUGAGAGGAUUCUGCACAGUUUUCUUCUAUGAUACAGGUUUGGUUGUUUGACUCAUUAACUCUGAUCAUUGGAGACUUAAUUGAGUUUGUUCUGUUACAAGUAUUCAGUCAUCUGGUGUCCUGUCUGCCUUUCGCAAGACACACAGUGUCCUUUUCUUCCCCUUCUCAUGACAGUGUUUCCCUCUUCCUCUCAGGACACAGUGUCCCUUUCUUUCUCCCAGGACACAAUGUCUCCUGUCUUCCUCUCAGGACAUAAUGUCUCUCUCUCCUUCUCCCAGGACACAAUGUCUCCUACCUUCCUCCCAGGACACAAUGUCUCCUAUCUCCCUCUCAGGACACAGUGUCUCCUAUUUUUCAUCUAGGACACAAUGUCUCCUAUCUUCCCCCCAGGACACAAUGUCUCCUAUCUCCCUCCCAGGACACGAUGCCUCUCUUUCCUUCUCACAGCUCUUUCAGUCUUCCCCACAUUCUUCUUCUUCCUCUGAGAUGCAAGUUCACUUCCUCUCAAACGUUUGGCUGAUAUUUCUAACAGGAACUUCCUGAAGACUUUUGUCUAAACAAAAUUCACAAAUCUCCCUUUCCAUUUCUGAACUUCAAAUGGCAAUGAAGAGGGAUUGAACCCUAGACUACAUAUUCAAGCAUUUCCAUUCUCUCCUUCUUAUUUGUGCCGUAUAUAUAUCAAAGACAUUGAUUUAUGUAUCUUAAAUAUACUUUUGUUCAUAUCAAACAUGUUUAAAUGAAGAGAGAGCUGAGGAUUCUCUCCAGUUUCUAUUCUAAGUUUCUUGUUUAUUGUUCAGAGUAGCAACAAAGCCAUGUCAAGGCUUCAAAUAAACUGCACUACACAUCUCUCUUGCUUUCUCUCUAUCUGUCUGUCUCUCUCUCUCUUGCUCUCUCACCCUCUCUCGGUCUCUUGCUCUCUCUCUCUCUCUCACACACACACACACACACACACACACACAGUUACUAAAUUUAAACAUUUGCUUUUUUUACGGGUGGCUCAGCUGGAGCAUUUUAAUAAUUUGUUGCCAAAUUUAAUUUGAUUUAGUUUUAUAAAUUUCAUUUUGCUGUGAUGCGUACAACUUUGUGUGUGUUUGUGCCUGUGAAUGUGUGUGAGUGCACGUGUGUGCGUCUGUGUGUAUGUACACUUUUCUGUUCUUCUGAUAAACAUGCUUUAGUAAUUUUUACGUCAUUUCUUCCUUUCUCUUCACAAAUGUCUAGAGAUACGUGUGUGUGUGUGUUUUGCAGGCCAGGCUGACUGGUUAACAAGUUUACUUUUGCAAAUAUGGGGUUUUCAGUUUUGAAUCUCGUGGUUUCGUAUUUUGAGAAAGUAUCUUCUAUAUCAUAGCUCCAGCUCAGCCCAAAGUUUGUGAAUGAAAUGGGAUUGGAGGGGGGAUACUGUUCUGAAUCUCUUCAACUGGGCUGUUCAUGUUCUUUAGUGGCAGACUCAAUAUCCGUGUCACAGUCUAACCCUUCCAUUACCACCUCAUAAUCGGGUGUUCCCUAGUGUGGCAGUAACCCCUGUGUUAUAGUUUCAUAAUGCCUUUCCCUCUACUGUCUCGGGGUUUCUAUGAAAAAAUCAGGGGUCACUUAAUAAUCCCAAUAAUGGGAAACCCAAGUUUG